GACGGGGACCCGCACAAGCGGUGGAGCAUGUGGUUUAAUUCGAAGCAACGCGAAGAACCUUACCAAAUCUUGACAUCCCUCUGACCGGACCUUAACCGGUCCUUUCCUUCGGGACAGAGGUGACAGGUGGUGCAUGGUUGUCGUCAGCUCGUGUCGUGAGAUGUUGGGUUAAGUCCCGCAACGAGCGCAACCCUUAUCUUCAGUAGCCAGCAUUUCGGAUGGGCACUCUGGAGAGACUGCCAGGGAUAACCUGGAGGAAGGUGGGGAUGACGUCAAAUCAUCAUGCCCCUUAUGAUUUGGGCUACACACGUGCUACAAUGGCGGAAACAAAGGGAAGCGAACCUGUGAGGGGAAGCAAAUCUCAAAAAUACCGUCCCAGUUCGGACUGUAGUCUGCAACUCGACUACACGAAGCUGGAAUCGCUAGUAAUCGCGAAUCAGCAUGUCGCGGUGAAUACGUUCCCGGGUCUUGUACACACCGCCCGUCACACCAUGGGAGUUGGUAAUGCCCGAAGUCUGUGAGCUAACUUUUAGAGGCAGCAGCCGAAGGCAGGACCGAUGACUGGGGUGAAAAAGUAACAAGGUGG
rnacentral:rRNA from 1 species